GCGCAUUCGGAGGAGAAGUUGAAAUGGAGGGAAGCUCUUGCUAAGGCUGCUAAAUUGUCAGGGUGGCACUUGGAUAAUGGGGAUGAGGCUAAAUUUAUUCAGAAUAUUGUUGAAAUUGUUUCAGUUAAACUGAACUGCAAAUUGUUACCCGUUCCUGAGCAUCAUGUUGGUAUAAAAUCCUAAGUAGAAGAGAUGAUUUGUAUGUUAAGC
rnacentral:misc_RNA from 1 species